rnacentral:rRNA from 1 species
GAGACUGCCAGUGAUAAACUGGAGGAAGGUGGGGAUGACGUCAAGUCAUCAUGGCCCUUACGACCAGGGCUACACACGUGCUACAAUGGCGCAUACAAAGAGAAGCGACCUCGCGAGAGCAAGCGGACCUCAUAAAGUGCGUCGUAGUCCGGAUUGGAGUCUGCAACUCGACUCCAUGAAGUCGGAAUCGCUAGUAAUCGUGGAUCAGAAUGCCACGGUGAAUACGUUCCCGGGCCUUGUACACACCGCCCGUCACACCAUGGGAGUGGGUUGCAAAAGAAGUAGGUAGCUUAACCUUCGGGAGGG